AAUAAGUGUAGUUUUGUAUUAUUCACGUUUAAGGUUUGAUUGUUCGUCUUAUUUAAAAAAUUUUUAUGAUUAGUAUUUUUAUUGCUAUUAGAUGAUAAAACAUGAAUAGUACUUUAUGUGUGACUAAAUAUUUUUAAAUUUUUCAUAAAAUUUGCAAAUAUGACGGACGGUCAACGUUGGGCACGGAUAUCCACGGCUGCACUUAUU
rfam:Oryza sativa (indica cultivar-group) chromosome 4, whole genome shotgun sequence.